CAGAGCCGUCUGUCUUCUUAUCUGGAUCUGUACUUCUCAUGAGAUGGUUUAAAUCAUUUGUCAGGGGACACCAUAUAUUCUGAUACUGUUCCUUCUGGAUCUGCUUUCAAGAUCGGCCAUGUUUACCAAAAGAAAGUUGUUUUGCUUCAAUAGGAACUCAACCUGGCUUUCAUUUUUAUUUAAUCUGCCUUCCACAUUAUUCCAAGAUUCUUCCAUGGUUCCCCUGUGAUGCUGCAGAUAAAAUAUCCCAAAGACAAAAUCAAAACAGGAGUAUUUCAAGGCUGUGCUGUUUAACUGAUAAACCUUAACUUCAUGAAGACAUCCACGAGCAGCUGACUGGACUGUCUAAGGAAGGGAA